ACACUCCUACGGGAGGCAGCAGUGGGGAAUAUUGGACAAUGGGCGCAAGCCUGAUCCAGCCAUGCCGCGUGAGUGAUGAAGGCCCUAGGGUUGUAAAGCUCUUUCACCGGUGAAGAUAAUGACGGUAACCGGAGAAGAAGCCCCGGCUAACUUCGUGCCAGCAGCCGCGGUAAUACGAAGGGGGCUAGCGUUGUUCGGAUUUACUGGGCGUAAAGCGCACGUAGGCGGACUAUUAAGUCAGGGGUGAAAUCCCGGGGCUCAACCCCGGAACUGCCUUUGAUACUGGUAGUCUUGAGUUCGAGAGAGGUGAGUGGAAUUCCGCGUGUAGAGGUGAAAUUCGUAGAUAUUCGGAGGAACACCAGUGGCGAAGGCGGCUCACUGGCUCGAUACUGACGCUGAGGUGCGAAAGCGUGGGGAGCAAACAGGAUUAGAAACCCCAGUAGUCCC
rnacentral:rRNA from 1 species